GUGACAGAUCAGCCAGGUGACAGAAAGAGAAGGCAGCUUUGAAAUUACGACUAUAACCAAGUACUGCUGGGACAUUCUGUGAAAAUGUAUAUCAAAGUCAUCAGCAUCAGACUACUGUAAGCCUGUACCGCCAAGACAUGCACCCACCCGACUUCAAAAAGCAGUUCCUGUUUUCUCAACAACCUAACUGGAGAAAUGAAGCAUAUUCCUUGAUUGAUUUCUAUCACACAGCGAGGCCAGGGGACAAAGAAUGGCCGACGGAAUGCUGAAAGGAUGCAAGAAUCCACUUUAAAGUCGGGAUAUGGCACAAGCCACUGAAAAGCUGUGUUGAUUCAGGGGUGAACUAGUAGAAGUGCUGCAAAGAAAUAGGACGCAUUUACUGUUCCUGCAAAACCUUUAAAUGAACUUGUGAAGGGCACCCUUUGCUUAGCUCUGGGACGCUGCAGCUGUCAGCUACAUCUGUAGGACUGCUGGCUCAACAACCCACAGAAGAUUAGAGAUAACCUCCUUAUGCAAUAGAUGACUGCCCUGUUACAAUGUCUUUGCAUAACAGCCUAGAACAGAACAUUUUCUGAGCAGCACCGCUGGCAAAUUGUUAAGCUGUUUAGCAGCUCAUACACACACACACACAGCACUUGGAUAUCCGUUACCCAGAUGCACCCAGAUGCCCUUGUAUUAAGAAUAAAA